rnacentral:rRNA from 1 species
UACCUCCCGUGUGUCGUCGUCGGCGACGUCUACGAGAGGUUCGAUUCUGGCUCAGGACGAACGCUGGCGGCGUGCCUAACACAUGCAAGUCGAACGGAGUUAAUGAUUCGGUUGUUAACUUAGUGGCGAACGGGUGAGUAACGCGUGAACAACCUGACCCAAAGAGGGGGAUAACAUUUGGAAACAGAUGCUAAUACCGCAUAAGACCACAACGUCACAUGGCGAAGGGGUCAAAGGAGCAAUCCGCUUUGGGAGGGGUUCGCGUCCCAUUAGGUAGAUGGCGGGGUAACGGCCCACCAUGCCAACGAUGGGUAGCCGAGCUGAGAGGCUGAUCGGCCACACUGGAACUGAGACACGGUCCAGACUCCUACGGGAGGCAGCAGUGGGGAAUAUUGGGCAAUGGGCGCCAAGCCCGACCCAGCAACGCCGCGUGAGGGAAGAAGGUUUUCGGAUUGUAAACCUCUGUCGCAGAAGACGAAGGAAGUGACGGUAUUCUGUGAGGAAGCCCCGGCUAACUACGUGCCAGCCGCCGC